AUGCUCACUUUAGCAGCACCUACUCUAAAACUGUAAUGGUACAGAGAAGGUAACUAUGUCCCUGAGCUGGGAAGGCAGGCAAAUGUGUGAAGUGUUCUCUAUUUUU
ensembl:snRNA U6 U6 spliceosomal RNA